rfam:Myotis davidii contig320219, whole genome shotgun sequence.
GAUGGUUCUUGGGUGACACACCCCAGAAUUGGGCUCCCUUCUCUCUGGUUCUGGGUAUCUCACCCAAGAACUGCA